rnacentral:rRNA from 1 species
CCCUUAGAUGUUCUGGGCCGCACGCGCGCUACACUGAUGCGUUCAACAAGUUUCCUUGGCCGAGAGGCCUGGGCAAUCUUCUUAAUAUGUAUCGUGAUAGGGAUAGAUUAUUGCAAUUAUUAAUCUUGAACGAGGAAUUCCUAGUAAACGCAGAUCAUCAAUCUGCAUUGAUUACGUCCCUGCCCUUUGUACACACCGCCCAUCGCACCUACCGAUUGGAUGUUCCGGUGAAGCCUCGGGAUGAGGACUGGUGCCUUUAUUGGCAUGAGUUGUUCAGAACUUGUCUAAACCUUAUCAUCUAGAGGAAGGUGAAGUCGUAACA